UGUGAUAUUUUAUUUUUUGUCAUAUUUUCAUUAUUAAUUAAAUCACUAUCUGUAUUUUUUCUGUCAAUGCUAUAGAAUUAGAGAUAUACUUAUGGUAUCUGAAUGAAAGCUUGCUUAUCUAAUUUUAAUAUAUACUCCAGAAUUUACUGUUAUGCCUGAAAGGAUUUUGUAUUGCUAACAAUUAUUAUUUUUCAGUGUCAUAACGAUGCAGCUUCCUGGCCAGUUAAAAAGAAGGAAAAAUAAAGUCUUAAGGUGAAAGAAGAAAUUGUACAAUUCAAAGAGACUUCUGAUAUAUUAUAAAAAGAAAGUUCAAUGUUUACGAGAGGAGUUAUAGAAAAGCCAACCUCACCUAAAACAGUUAUGAUGAUUUAUCUUUACAUCUGUUUGAGGAGCCUACAGGAAAUGCAAAUUAUACAGAUGAAAAAAUAUCCUUCACAAUAACAUUGCACUUUUACAGUCCUAAUGCAUAUGAGUUUCUUUCUACCACGUUUAACCUGCCUUCAACCAGAACACUAAAAAGAUGAUGUUGGCAAGUUUACCUUCAUCUAUUUCAGUCAUGAUUGCCUUUAUAUGUGGACAAAUAAGCCUAUACAGUAUUUCCAAGAAUGAGAACUUUGCAGGGUAGAGUCAUUUGACUUACAAGCCUCUUAGAGACCACUGGGACAUUGUUCUGGGCCGCCUUUGGUAUGGGGAACUCUCAGGCACCAGCUAUUAAAGAAGAAACAAAUAGCAGUCAGGUUAAUGGUGACUCAGAGAUAAAAGACAGUGUGCUGCUGAAAGUCAUUGAGGUGGUUGGCUACCCCGUUUUGUAUGGAGUUUACAUUCUUGAUGCUGUCAUGGUCCUGAUCAACUUGUUCAUUGCUAUGAUGAAUUUGAAGACAUUUAGAAUGUCCAAAAGAUUAGUCAGCUAAGGAGCCUAAAAUGUUAGCCUGUUUACAAAUAUGAGAUCUUCCUUGACUACACAAGUACCUUACAAAAGAAGGCUACUCACUUGUGUUUGGAUAUGUCAGCUGUUUUGUCCCUGUGGCCCUUUUCAAGCAUGACAGAUUCUAUUCUAAGCAGCUUUUUUCUCUGGAAAUUUUUCAACCACGGAAGCUGUGAGGGAUAUCUGAAAUCCAUUGCUUACUUGUCUAGAAAGACUUCCAUCGAUUGAGUGAUAAAAGAUUAAGUUUACACAACUUUUAGUAGUCACCACAUAACACUUAACAUUUUGAUGCUCAAGACAAUACUGCUCAUGAAUGGUUUAUUUUUCUUUAUGCUGAGAGUGUCCAAGAAAGAUAAGGUCAAAGGUUAAUUGGACAAACAAUAAACUUAGUCUUUGAAUCUGAAAUUGUAGAACUUGUAGAGAAAAAAAACAACUUAGUGUUGUUGUUAAUUUACCAGGUACCAGGUACCUACUAUUCAUUUACUUUGACUGUUGACUUUAAGUUAGAAAUUAAGGAAAGAUUUCUUUGAGCUAUAUUUGUCAAUGACCAUAGGCAUUAAGAGAGUUGACACCUCAUUUAACUUUUCAACAAGAUGAUGUCUUAAAAAAAUUAAGAGCUUUUGAUGGAAUUCUGUGGUUGAAUAACAUAAGGAAUAAUCACAGGAUUCCAUCAAAAUCAUUGCAAUUUGAACAUUGUUGGUAGUGUCAAUGUUAUUAAGUUUUUUAGUUCUUGGUGUUACUACAUUAUUCAUUUUCUAGUGACCAGGCAGUGUUUUAUACCAUGAAUGAAUAUGUUGUAAGAGGUUUAAGGUAUACCACUCAAUCAAUAAUAUCUUUGACAAUAAAAUAUUUUGAUCAAGUUUAUAUUUUUGGAACAGAAUAUGCUAAUGUGUUAAAUGUACAUUUUUCUUUUUUUAUGGAAUAACAACUGAUAUUUAGUUUUAUCCCUUUGUAUCUUUCUACAGUAGAUGCACUGUCAUACUACAUAGAAAUUAAAAAAAAUUAUAAUAACUUCUAAUCAAAUUGUCUCAUUUUUAAAAUCAAAUAUCUAAAUGAAUCAUGCUACUUUGAUUCUACACAAUCUACAGGACUACCAAUGUACAUUAGUUUUGAACAAAAAGUUGCUAACUUUAAAUAAUUGAUUAACUCAUUUUGAUAUUUAUGUAUACCUUGUAAUAAAAGUGGCAUUCAUUUUACAAUUUCAUUUUUUUUUUAUUGUAACUGGUCUGUGUUAAUUUCUUUUUUUUUUUUCAAAUUACUUUGUAUUGCCUAUAUGGGGAAAUGGUAUUUCUGGUGUUUCUUUGCUCAGCAAAAACAAAUCAGGAUUUGAACUCAAGCCCCCUUGACAGUGGUUUAUGCCAGAUAUCCAGCAUUUCAUGCAGUUUGUAGGCCAAAUUUAAUACUCACAGUGCCCCAGUGCAGGUAGAAAGAGGAAACCUUGCCACAUUAAUGUUUGCUGCUCCAGACUUGCUGCUCUCUAUCUCAACUGAUCUAGGAAGCACUACAGCUGGGUUUCAGUCCACUGCAUUGGCUAGAGAGGAUUUCAGUCUCUCAGGCUGCAAAAUGAAGUCUGAUGUGAUUUUAUUCUUUAAAAGUUGUAUGGAUGUCUUUAAGCUACAUAACUUAUCCUAGUCCAAUGUGUUGAUUGACAUAGUUACCAGGUACUGGUACUAAAAAAAUUGCCGCUUUUAUCCUCCCCUUCCAGCAACCCUUAGAUCUAGUUUUUCUAAAUUUCUAGUAGUUUAAUAGUGCUUUUCCAUAUGUCAUUAAAAAGUUAUGUUAAAAGUUAA